UUUUGUUUUGUGUAUGCAUGCUGUGUGUAGACGAAUGAAUGAUGCGAUGGACUGAUGUAGUUUCGGAGGAUGGGGGUUUCGGAGAUGAUUUGCGCGUGCCGCGUGUGGCCUUUCGUUGCCUCUGCGCUAUCGAAUUUAUUUACAUCGUACGGCAGACAAGUAUGUACUGCUGGAAUGUUAAAGUUGGUAUGCUGCUGCACUCGUCUCCGUUAAUUCUGUUACCAGCAGUCUGUUACUCCAUCUCCCGUUGCUGCCUGGAUCCAUG
rnacentral:lncRNA from 1 species